rnacentral:rRNA from 1 species
GGCGAGUGGCGAACGGGUGAGUAAUGCAUCGGAACGUGCCAUUGAGUGGGGGAUAACGUAGCGAAAGUUGCGCUAAUACCGCAUAUUCUGUGAGCAGGAAAGCAGGGUGACCGCAAGGCCUUGCGCUCUUUGAGCGGCCGAUGUCAGAUUAGCUAGUUGGUGAGGUAACGGCUUACCAAGGCGACGAUCUGUAGCGGGUCUGAGAGUGAUGAUCCGCCACACUGGAACUGAGACACGGUCCAGACUCCUACGGGAGGCAGCAGUGGGGAAUUUUGGACAAUGGGGGCAACCCUGAUCCAGCCAUGCCGCGUGAGUGAAGAAGCCUUCGGGUUGUAAAGCUCUUUCGGCCGGGAAGAAUCGCAUGGCCAAUACCCUGUUGUUGAUUACUGUACCGGAAUAAGAAGCACCGGCUAACUACGUGCCAGCAGCCGCGGUAAUACGUAGGGUGCGAGCGUUAAUGGGAAUUACUGGGCGUAAAGCGUGCGCAGCCGGUUUUGUAAGACAGGCGUGAAAUCCCCGGGCUCAACCUGGGAACUGCGUUUGUGACUGCAAGGCUAGAGUACGGCAGAGGGGGGUGGAAUUCCACGUGUAGCAGUGAAAUGCGUAGAGAUGUGGAGGAACACCAAUGGCGAAGGCAGCCCCCUGGGUCGAUACUGACGCUCAUGCACGAAAGCGUGGGUAGCAAACAGGAUUAGAUACCUGGUAGUCCACGCCCUAAACUAUGUCAACUAGGUGUUGGGUGGGUAAAACCAUUUAGUACCGUAGCUAACGCGUGAAGUUGACCGCCUGGGGAGUACGGCCGCAAGGUUAAAACUCAAAGGAAUUGACGGGGACCCGCACAAGCGGUGGAUGAUGUGGAUUAAUUCGAUGCAACGCGAAAAACCUUACCUACCCUUGACAUGCCAGGAACUUGCCAGAGAUGGCUUGGUGCCCGAAAGGGAGCCUGGACACAGGUGCUGCAUGGGUGUCGUCAGCUCGUGUCGUGAGAUGUUGGGUUAAGUCCCGCAACGAGCGCAACCCUUGUCGUUAAUUGCCAUCAUUUAGUUGGGCACUUUAGCGAGACUGCCGGUGACAAACCGGAGGAAGGUGGGGAUGACGUCAAGUCCUCAUGGCCCUUAUGGGUAGGGCUUCACACGUCAUACAAUGGUCGGUACAGAGGGUCGCCAAGCCGCGAGGUGGAGCCAAUCCCAGAAAGCCGAUCGUAGUCCGGAUUGCAGGCUGCAACUCGCCUGCAUGAAGUCGGAAUCGCUAGUAAUCGUGGAUCAGCAUGUCACGGUGAAUACGUUCCCGGGUCUUGUACACACCGCCCGUCACACCAUGGGAGCGGUUCCGCCCAGAAGUAGGUAGCCUAACCGCAAGGAGGCGCUUACCACG